rnacentral:pre_miRNA from 1 species
AAAAAGAUAAACCCUGGUUUCUGUGCCCAACGUUUGACCGUCCGUCUUAUUUGAAAAAAAUUAAAAGACAAGUCACGCAUAAAAUAUUAAUCAUGUUUUAUCAUCUAACAACAAUGACAAUACGAAUAAUAAAAAGAAUUCAUAUAAGACGGACCAUCAAAGUUGGACACGGAAACUCAGGGUUUGCCUUUUU